rnacentral:rRNA from 1 species
AGAGUUUGAUCCUGGCUCAGGAUUAACGCUGGCGGCGUGCAUAACACAUGCAAGUCGAACGAUGAAACUUAAAUGAUUUCUUCGGAAUGAACUUAAGUGGAUUAGUGGCGGACGGGUGAGUAACGCGUGAGUAACCUGCCUUACACAAGGGGAUAGCCGUUGGAAACGACGAAUAAUACCCUAUGAAACUAUCACUUCGCAUGAAGCGAUAGUCAAAGUGUUAGCGGUGUAAGAUGGACUUGCGUCUGAUUAGCUAGUUGGUGAGAAAAAAGCCCACCAAGGCAACGAUCAGUAGCCGGCUUGAGAGAGUGUACGGCCACAUUGGGACUGAGACACGGCCCAGACUCCUACGGGAGGCAGCAGUGGGGAAUUUUGCACAAUGGGGGAAACCCUGAUGCAGCGACGCCGCGUGAUUUAGAAGGCCUUCGGGUUGUAAAAAUCUUUUGUAUAGGAAGAAAAUGACAGUACUAUACGAAUAAGGUCCGGCUAAUUACGUGCCAGCAGCCGCGGUAAUACGUAAGGACCGAGCGUUGUCCGGAAUCAUUGGGCGUAAAGGGUACGUAGGCGGGUCAUUAAGUUAGAAGUCAAAGGCUAUAGCUCAACUAUAGUAAGCUUCUAAAACUGGAGACCUUGAGUAAUGGAAGGGAAAGUGGAAUUCCUAGUGUAGCGGUGGAAUGCGCAGAUAUUAGGAGGAAUACCGGUGGCGAAGGCGACUUUCUGGCCAUUAACUGACGCUGAGGUACGAAAGCGUGGGUAGCAAACAGGAUUAGAUACCCUGGUAGUCCACGCCGUAAACGAUGAGUGUUAGGUGUCUGGAGUAAAUCUGGGUGCCGCAGCUAACGCAUUAAACACUCCGCCUGGGGAGUACGCACGCAAGUGUGAAACUCAAAGGAAUUGACG